rnacentral:rRNA from 1 species
CCUACGGGAGGCAGCAGUGAGGAAUAUUGGUCAAUGGACGAGAGUCUGAACCAGCCAAGUAGCGUGAAGGAUGACUGCCCUAUGGGUUGUAAACUUCUUUUAUAAGGGAAUAAAAUGUUCCACGUGUGGGAUUUUGUAUGUACCUUAUGAAUAAGCAUCGGCUAAAUCCGUGCCAGCAGCCGCGGUAAUACGGAGGAUCCGAGCGUUAUCCGGGUUUAUUGGGUUUAAAGGGAUCGUAGGUGGAUUGUUAAGUCAGUUGUGAAAGUUUGCGGCUCAACCGUACAAUUGCAGUUGAAACUGGCAGUCUUGAGUACGGUAAGGGUGGACGGAAUUCGUGGUGUAGCGGUGAAAUGCUUAGAUAUCACGAAGAACUCCGAUUGCGAAGGCAGCUCACUGGACUGCAACUGACGCUGAGGCUCGAAAGUGUGGGUAUCAAACAGGAUUAGAUACCCUGGUAGUC